rnacentral:rRNA from 1 species
AUGAACGCUGGCGGCGUGCCUCAUACAUGCCAGUCGCGCGAACAGGCGAGGAGCUUGCUCCUCUGACGUUAGCGGCGGACGGGUGAGUAACACGUGGAUAACCUACCUAUAAGACUGGGAUAACUUCGGGAAACCGGAGCUAAUACCGGAUAAUAUAUUGAACCGCAUGGUUCAAUAGUGAAAGACGGUUUUGCUGUCACUUAUAGAUGGAUCCGCGCCGCAUUAGCUAGUUGGUAAGGUAACGGCUUACCAAGGCAACGAUGCGUAGCCGACCUGAGAGGGUGAUCGGCCACACUGGAACUGAGACACGGUCCAGACUCCUACGGGAGGCAGCAGUAGGGAAUCUUCCGCAAUGGGCGAAAGCCUGACGGAGCAACGCCGCGUGAGUGAUGAAGGUCUUCGGAUCGUAAAACUCUGUUAUUAGGGAAGAACAAAUGUGUAAGUAACUAUGCACGUCUUGACGGUACCUAAUCAGAAAGCCACGGCUAACUACGUG